rnacentral:ncRNA from 1 species
AAUCUUCAGGGCGGGGCGCAAUUCCCCACCGGCGGUUACAGCCCGCGAGCCGAGCGGCUUAUGCUUGGCAGGAUUCGGUGAAAUUCCGAAGCCGACAGUAUAGUCUGGAUGAGAGAAGAUG